GGGCUCGUAGCUCAGUUGGUUAGAGCGCGUCCCUGAUAAGGACGAGGUCAGUAGUUCGAAUCUACUCGGGCCCA
rnacentral:tRNA from 1 species